rnacentral:rRNA from 1 species
UACGUAGGGUGCGAGCGUUAAUCGGAAUCACUGGGCGUAAAGCGCACGUAGGCGGAUUGCUAAGUCAGGGGUGAAAUCCUGGAGCUCAACUCCAGAACUGCCUUUGAUACUGGCGAUCUUGAGUCCGGGAGAGGUGAGUGGAACUGCGAGUGUAGAGGUGAAAUGCGUAGAUAUCGUGAGGAAGACCAGUGGCGAAGGCGGGUCUCUGGACAGUUCCUGACACUGAGGCACGAAGGCCAGGGGAGCAAACGGG